AGCGAACGCUGGCGGCAGGCCUAACACAUGCAAGUCGAACGAAGCCUUCGGGCUUAGUGGCGGACGGGUGAGUAACACGUGGGAACGUACAUUUAGGUUCGGAACAACUCAGGGAAACUUGAGCUAAUACCGGAUAAGCCCUUCGGGGGAAAGAUUUAUCGCUUUUAGAGCGGCCCGCGUUAGAUUAGCUAGUUGGUGAGGUAAAUGCUCACCAAGGCUACGGUCUAUAGCUGGUCUGGGAGGACGAUCAGCCACACUGGAACUGAGACACGGCCCAGACUCCUACGGGAGGCAGCAGUGGGGAAUCUUGCGCAAUGGGCGAAAGCCUGACGCAGCCAUGCCGCGUGAAUGAUGAAGGUCUUAGGAUUGUAAAAUUCUUUUACCAGGGACGAUAAUGACGGUACCUGGAGAAAAAGCCCCGGCUAACUUCGUGCCAGCAGCCGCGGUAA
rnacentral:rRNA from 1 species